rnacentral:rRNA from 1 species
UUCACUUGUUGGUGAGGUAAUGGCUCACCAAGGCGUCGACGGGUAGCCGGCCUGAGAGGGUGACCGGCCACACUGGGACUGAGACACGGCCCAGACUCCUACGGGAGGCAGCAGUGGGGAAUAUUGCACAAUGGGCGGAAGCCUGAUGCAGCAACGCCGCGUGAGGGAUGACGGCCUUCGGGUUGUAAACCUCUUUUAGCAGGGAAGAAGCGAAAGUGACGGUACCUGCAGAAAAAGCGCCGGCUAACUACGUGCCAGCAGCCGCGGUAAUACGUAGGGCGCAAGCGUUAUCCGGAAUUAUUGGGCGUAAAGAGCUCGUAGGCGGUUUGUCGCGUCUGCUGUGAAAUCCCGAGGCUCAACCUCGGGCCUGCAGUGGGUACGGGCAGACUAGAGUGCGGUAGGGGAGAUUGGAAUUCCUGGUGUAGCGGUGGAAUGCGCAGAUAUCAGGAGGAACACCGAUGGCGAAGGCAGAUCUCUGGGCCGUAACUGACGCUGAGGAGCGAAAGGGUGGGGAGCAAACAGGCUUAGAUACCCUGGUAGUCCACCCCGUAAACGUUGGGAACUAGUUGUGGGGUCCAUUCCACG